UCUACGGGAGGCAGCAGUGGGGAAUAUUGCGCAAUGGGCGAAAGCCUGACGCAGCGACGCCGCGUGCGGGAUGAAGGCCUUCGGGUUGUAAACCGCUUUUGGAGGCAAAAAAGCGAGAGCGAUGGUAACCUCCGAAUAAGGACCGGCUAACUACGUGCCAGCAGCCGCGGUAAUA
rnacentral:rRNA from 1 species